CGUAAACACUGUACGUGACCAGACUACCAGCAGCUGACCCGAGAGCGGCAGCGAAACCGUAAACAACUGGCGCGGUGUGACGUAUUAGACCUGAGAAGCAGGUAGAGUCCAAUCCUCCGCCCACACGGCGGCAGGUGAGGCCGUGAGCGAGGCUGCGUGUAAACAGGGGCGGAGCGGGCAGGUAGGUAGGAACACCGCGGAGAGUCCCUUCAUGAAACACAGCGUUUGAAUAGCAGCUGCUGCCACGGUGCUCUUCAUUUUACUGACGGCAUGAGCACAGAAGCGAGCGGGGAGUUGAGCGGCUUCUCUGCGGCUGGAGAGUCCACCAUGGAAACGCAGAAAGAAAGACAAAAGCCUGCAAACGGCCAGCUGAUCUCUGUGCCUCACAAGGACACCAUCCGUCUGUUGGAGGUGUACGUCAAGCGCAGCCUCAGCCUAAACGAUGGCGCGUUGGAAGGAAAGGGGUCCCGGAGGAAGGAGAAGUGGGUGACCAUUCCCAAAAAGCAGAGACGACAUUCCAGCGACCCGUCCCUUCAUCUGGUUGAGGAAUCACACGAUGAGGACACCGCUGCACGCGAGGCACACGAGGCAGAUGAGGCACGUCUGCGUGAUCUGCCUGAGCCGUUUCCAAAAGAACCCGAGAAACCAACUAAGAAAUCCAAGAGGGUUAAGGCGAAGAAACCCGUGUUCUGGAAAAAUUUAGUCAACUUUUUCUCUUGGAGGAGUAACGACGACAAAGACGACGAAGUGGACAGUCCGAAGGAGACAUCUGAGGUCUCUGAGGUCACCACCACCUGCCUGCCUACAGCUGGACCCCCUUCAGAGAAGAAGUCCACGAGGAGGAAGUCCUUAAAAAGAAGGCUCUCAAAGAGGCGGCUGUCCAUAAUAAAACCACACAAACCAAGCAAAGAUCUUAACCCUGCGGACAUCACCGCCGUGGAAGCUGUUGUCAGCGUGGAGCCGACGUACUCUUACUACGAGAAGGUGACGGAAGAACUGGAGAAAAUCGUGCACGAGGUCAAAGAAAAAGAGGAAGUUAAGGCGCUUUCAGAUGAUGAAGUCAUCAACAGGAUCAUUGCUUUGACGAAGGAGCAGGGCGAUGCCAUAGAUGGCAAGCUUAAAGAAAAUCCCACCCUGAGCAGCUUCUUCCAGGGGAUGACGUACUCCGCCUUCCAGAAGCUGGCUGACGCAUAUCUGGACAAAGAAGCAACACCACCGACCAGCAACCCUCCCACCAUCCCGCCAACAGCGCCGGAGCUGGUCAAACUAGCCUUCACGCUGGAUUUCACAGCCAGGAUAGCUGGGCUCUCCAGGCAGAACAUAGGCCACAUCACAGGCUUGGGGCACCUGUAUCUUCAGGACCGGUUUGAGUACAAACAGGCGUGUACGGAUCAUCCGUGGUCCGACAGUGAGGACUGAGACUGCUUUGACAAAACCGCAAGUUAACAGUUUUUUUGAGCAUCAUAACUGUGACAGAAGAAGUGUUGCAAGCACAACUUCCUUCUUCUCAACACACACACACAAGGGGCUGCCCAAACUCCCCGUUUUAAACUGGCAUGCACACACAACGCUGCCAUUUCCAUUGGAUGUUGCUGUUUGGUGACUGACUGCUUGUGACAUACUUUCUGCAACAAGGUGUUAACUGUGAGAACUGAGCCUUCACACAAACAUGAAAAUCUUUGCAAAGACCAUCAUUCAGACACACGUCAGUGAUUCCACAAGCAACACUUAACAUCUUUUUUCUUUUGCCAAAUUAAAUAUUAAUAUACAACAGAGCAGUGCAAUAACCUUACAUGUACGUAAGCUAGACGACUUUGUGCAAUAUUGUGAAACAUUUCUGUGACUUCUUGUUAUCAAUGCUGGCGUUCAUAAAAGAAGUCCUCAAACAUAUUUAAUGUGUGUUUUUCUCAUCUUCAUUUUCUCAAGCUUUUAC
rnacentral:lncRNA from 1 species